CAUCUCGGAGGGGGGACGAGGCUGGCGGCAGAAAGACCCGCUCUCUCACUAACGAGGCACUGACCCGACAUCUUCCCAACGGUGAAACGAUGGUGAGCAGUUUUUAACUGAGGAUUCAGGAUUUAAAAACGAGGAAACAAAUCUUGCUAACCCCUCCCUGUGUUGUGUAACGGCAAUAAAGCCGAACCUUGAACCUUUUGCAAAGACAGUCACGUCAGACGGGUGUUGUUACUAAGAGGUAUGUUGGAACCUAACCGUGCCGGCUUUCCAUUGGACGAAACUCAAGAAAACUCUGGAAAGUCCCGGAAACGUCACCCAGGAGAUAAGUCUGGCGCACUGAUCGGCACUCGUCUUUUCACAGCAACUCACGGUUGCUUCAAAAGACAACACCCGAGAAACGACAGCCAUCUUCUUCAUGGUAGAGAAGGACCACUCCAUUCA